CUGACAGUCCCUGGGGCUCUGGGCCUCCAUUGAUCCACUGAGCAUGCUCAGCACAGGCAGGGCAGUGUGAGUCUGUCUACUGCCAGUGUAUCCCAGCCCGGAUUCAGCUCUAAGGGACACAGGAGAGCAGCUCAGCUUUCAUAUUCCACCAUUCCUUGGUUUCU
ensembl:misc_RNA